rnacentral:rRNA from 1 species
GAUGAACGCUAGCGGCAGGCUUAACACAUGCAAGUCGAGGGGUAUAGUUCUUCGGAACUAGAGACCGGCGCACGGGUGCGUAACGCGUAUGCAAUCUACCUUUUGCAGAGGGAUAGCCCAGAGAAAUUUGGAUUAAUACCUCAUAGUAUGUGAGAAUGGCAUCAUUUUCACAUUAAAGUCACAACGGCAAAAGAUGAGCAUGCGCCCCAUUAGCCUGUUGGUAAGGUAACGGCUUACCAAGGCAACGAUGGGUAGGGGUCCUGAGAGGGAGAUCCCCCACACUGGUACUGAGACACGGACCAGACUCCUACGGGAGGCAGCAGUGAGGAAUAUUGGACAAUGGGCGCAAGCCUGAUCCAGCCAUGCCGCGUGCAGGAUGAAGGCGUUAUGCGUUGUAAACUGCUUUUAUACAGGAAGAAACGACUCUUGCGAGAGGCAUUGACGGUACUGUAUGAAUAAGCACCGGCUAACUCCGUGCCAGCAGCCGCCGUAAGAC